AUCCUACGGGGGGCAGCAGUGGGGAAUAUUGCACAAUGGGGGAAACCCUGAUGCAGCAACGCCGCGUGAGUGAAGAAGUCAUUCGUGAUGUAAAGCUCUAUCAGCAGGGAAGAAAGAAAUGACGGUACCUGACUAAGAAGCCCCGGCUAACUACGUGCCAGCAGCCGCGGUAAUACGUAGGGGGCAAGCGUUAUCCGGAUUUACUGGGUGUAAAGGGAGCGUAGACGGCGAUGCAAGUCUCAAGUGAAAGGCGGGGGCCCAACCCCCGGACUGCUUUGGAAACUGUAUGGCUGGAGGUCAGGAGG
rnacentral:rRNA from 1 species